AUGUCCAGCUACAUCUGCAGGGCCCUUCGCCUUCUGGGCACCCGGUCCCCCGGCGCUGCGCCGGAGCCGGCGGGGCUGGGAGCCGGGAGCGAAGCGGGAUGCGGCGCGGCGGGGUUUACGUGCGGGGCUGGGGCUCUGUGCUCCUAUGAGCAGUACUUCGGCGCCGGCACCAGGCUCACGGUCGUCGACAACCUGAACAAGGUGAAACCACCCAAGGUCACUGUGUUUGAACCAUCCGAAGCAGAGAUCGCCCGGACACAGAAGGCCACGCUUGUGUGCCUGGCCACAGGCUUCUACCCCGACCACGUGGAGCUGAGCUGGUGGGUGAAUGGGAAGGAGAUCCAGAGUGGGGUCAGCACAGACCCUCAGCCCUACAAGGAGCAGCGCAACCACAGUGACCCCACCUACUGUCUGAGCAGCCGGCUGAGGGUCUCUGCCACCUUCUGGCACAAUCCUCGCAACCACUUCCGCUGCCAAGUCCAGUUCUUUGGGCUAGAGGAAGAAGACAAGAAGAAUUGGGAGGACACCCGCCCCAUACCCAUCACCCAGAAUGUCAGUGCUGAGGUCUGGGGCAGAGCAGAUUGUGGCUUCACCUCAAGUUCCUACCAGCAAGGGGUCCUGUCUGCCACCAUCCUCUAUGAGAUCCUUCUGGGGAAGGCCACUGUGUAUGCGGUGCUGGUCAGCGCCUUGGUGCUGAUGGCCAUGCUCAAGAAAAAGGUUUCCUGAGACCAGUUCCAGAUGAACAUCCUCAGACAUUUUUAAUCCAAACCCUAGAUUCACCUUCACAUGCUUCCAGUCUGUGUUCCCAAUGAAGGAUUCUCUCCUCGCCCUCUUAUCUCCUACCUAUAUAAGUAUCUGUCCCUUCUCUCUGCUGCCCUGCAGACUGAGCUCCUCAAUACUGAGUCUGAGAUAAACUAAACCAAUAAAAAUGUUGUGCUGGA